ACUGACAUCAAUAGCCGAUGGAUUUCG
rnacentral:sRNA from 1 species